GUUGUAUGGUUAAGUGACUAAGCGUACACGGUGGAUGCCUGGGCAGUCAGAGGCGAUGAAGGACGUACUAACUUGCGAUAAGCGCAGAUAAGGCAGUAAGAGCCGUUUGAGUCUGCGAUUUCCGAAUGGGGAAACCCAACUGCAUAAGCAGUUACUGUUAACUGAAUNNCUCGGUGAAGUAGGUGAACAAGCUGGAAAGCUUGGCGAUACAGGGUGAUAGCCCCGUAACCGACGCUUCAUCGAGCGUGAAAUCGAGUAGGGCGGGACACGUGAUAUCCUGUCUGAAUAUGGGGGGACCAUCCUCCAAGGCUAAAUACUCCUGACUGACCGAUAGUGAACCAGUACCGUGAGGGAAAGGCGAAAAGAACCCCUGUGAGGGGAGUGAAAUAGAACCUGAAACCGUGUACGUACAAGCAGUAGGAGCACCUUCGUGGUGUGACUGCGUACCUUUUGUAUAAUGGGUCAGCGACUUAUAUUCAGUGGCAAGGUUAACCGUAUAGGGGAGCCGUAGCGAAAGCGAGUCUUAACUGGGCGCUCAGUCUCUGGAUAUAGACCCGAAACCGGGUGAUCUAGCCAUGGGCAGGUUGAAGGUUGAGUAACAUCAACUGGAGGACCGAACCGACUAAUGUUGAAAAAUUAGCGGAUGACUUGUGGCUAGGGGUGAAAGGCCAAUCAAACUCGGAGAUAGCUGGUUCUCCCCGAAAGCUAUUUAGGUAGCGCCUCGGACGAAUACUACUGGGGGUAGAGCACUGUUAAGGCUAGGGGGUCAUCCCGACUUACCAACCCUUUGCAAACUCCGAAUACCAGUAAGUACUAUCCGGGAGACACACGGCGGGUGCUAACGUCCGUCGUGGAGAGGGAAACAACCCAGACCGCCAGCUAAGGUCCCAAAGUAUUGCUAAGUGGGAAACGAUGUGGGAAGGCUCAGACAGCUAGGAUGUUGGCUUAGAAGCAGCCAUCAUUUAAAGAAAGCGUAAUAGCUCACUAGUCGAGUCGGCCUGCGCGGAAGAUGUAACGGGGCUAAGCAAUACACCGAAGCUGCGGCAAUAUCUUUUAGAUAUUGGGUAGGGGAGCGUUCUGUAAGCCGUUGAAGGUGAAUCGUAAGGUUUGCUGGAGGUAUCAGAAGUGCGAAUGCUGACAUGAGUAACGACAAAGGGGGUGAAAAACCUCCUCGCCGGAAGACCAAGGGUUCCUGUCCAACGUUAAUCGGGGCAGGGUGAGUCGACCCCUAAGGUGAGGCCGAAAGGCGUAAUCGAUGGGAAACGGGUUAAUAUUCCCGUACUUCUGACUAUUGCGAUGGGGGGACGGAGAAGGCUAGGUGGGCCAGGCGACGGUUGUCCUGGUUCAAGUGCGUAGGCUUGAGAGUUAGGUAAAUCCGGCUCUCUCUAAGGCUGAGACACGACGUCGAGCUGCUACGGCAGUGAAGUCAUUGAUGCCAUGCUUCCAGGAAAAGCCUCUAAGCUUCAGAUAGUCAGGAAUCGUACCCCAAACCGACACAGGUGGUCGGGUAGAGAAUACCAAGGCGCUUGAGAGAACUCGGGUGAAGGAACUAGGCAAAAUGGUACCGUAACUUCGGGAGAAGGUACGCUCUUGAUGGUGAAGUCCCUCGCGGAUGGAGCUGACGAGAGUCGCAGAUACCAGGUGGCUGCAACUGUUUAUUAAAAACACAGCACUGUGCAAAAUCGCAAGAUGACGUAUACGGUGUGACGCCUGCCCGGUGCCGGAAGGUUAAUUGAUGGGGUUAGCGCAAGCGAAGCUCUUGAUCGAAGCCCCGGUAAACGGCGGCCGUAACUAUAACGGUCCUAAGGUAGCGAAAUUCCUUGUCGGGUAAGUUCCGACCUGCACGAAUGGCGUAAUGAUGGCCACGCUGUCUCCACCCGAGACUCAGUGAAAUUGAAAUCGCUGUGAAGAUGCAGUGUACCCGCGGCUAGACGGAAAGACCCCGUGAACCUUUACUACAGCUUGGCACUGAACAUUGAACCUACAUGUGUAGGAUAGGUGGGAGGCUAUGAAGACGUGACGCCAGUUGCGUUGGAGCCGUCCUUGAAAUACCACCCUUGUAUGUUUGAUGUUCUAACUUAGACCCAUUAUCUGGGUUGAGGACAGUGCCUGGUGGGUAGUUUGACUGGGGCGGUCUCCUCCCAAAGAGUAACGGAGGAGCACGAAGGUGGGCUAAUCACGGUUGGACAUCGUGAGGUUAGUGCAAUGGCAUAAGCCCGCUUAACUGCGAGAAUGACGGUUCGAGCAGGUGCGAAAGCAGGUCAUAGUGAUCCGGUGGUUCUGUAUGGAAGGGCCAUCGCUCAACGGAUAAAAGGUACUCCGGGGAUAACAGGCUGAUACCGCCCAAGAGUUCAUAUCGACGGCGGUGUUUGGCACCUCGAUGUCGGCUCAUCACAUCCUGGGGCUGAAGUCGGUCCCAAGGGUAUGGCUGUUCGCCAUUUAAAGUGGUACGCGAGCUGGGUUUAGAACGUCGUGAGACAGUUCGGUCCCUAUCUGCCGUGGGCGUUGGAAGAUUGAAGGGGGCUGCUCCUAGUACGAGAGGACCGGAGUGGACGAACCUCUGGUGUUCGGGUUGUGUCGCCAGACGCAUUGCCCGGUAGCUAAGUUCGGAAUUGAUAAGCGCUGAAAGCAUCUAAGCGCGAAGCGAGCCCUGAGAUGAGUCUUCCCUGAUACUUUAAGUAUCCUAAAGGGUUGUUCGAGACUAGAACGUUGAUAGGCAGGGUGUGUAAGCGUUGUGAGGCGUUGAGCUAACCUGUACUAAUUGCCCGUGAGGCUUAACCAUACAACACCCAAGGGGUUUUGUA
rnacentral:rRNA from 1 species